rnacentral:rRNA from 1 species
GUGGGGAAUCUUAGACAAUGGGCGCAAGCCUGAUCUAGCCAUGCCGCGUGAGCGAUGAAGGCCUUAGGGUUGUAAAGCUCUUUCGUGGGGGAAGAUAAUGACGGUACCAGCAGAAGAAGCCCCGGCUAACUCCGUGCCAGCAGCCGCGGUAAUACGGAGGGGGCUAGCGUUGUUCGGAAUUACUGGGCGUAAAGCGCGCGUAGGCGGACCAGAAAGUUGGAGGUGAAAUCCCAGGGCUCAACCUUGGAACUGCCUUCAAAACUCCUGGUCUGGAGUUCGAGAGAGGUGAGUGGAAUUCCGAGUGUAGAGGUGAAAUUCGUAGAUAUUCGGAGGAACACCAGUGGCGAAGGCGGCUCACUGGCUCGAUACUGACGCUGAGGUGCGAAAGCGUGGGGAGCAAACAGGAUUAGAUACCCGGGUAGUCC